rnacentral:rRNA from 1 species
UACGUUGGUGGCAAGCGUUAUCCGGAUUUAUUGGGUGUAAAGGGCGUGUAGGCGGGAGCGCAAGUCAGAUGUGAAAACUCAGGGCUCAACCCUGAGCCUGCAUUUGAAACUGUGUUUCUUGAGUGCUGGAGAGGCAAUCGGAAUUCCGUGUGUAGCGGUGAAAUGCGUAGAUAUACGGAGGAACACCAGUGGCGAAGGCGGAUUGCUGGACAGUAACUGACGCUGAGGCGCGAAAGCGUGGGGAGCAAACAGG